GGAGAGGUGGGUGAGUGGCUGAAACCAGUCCCCUGCUAAGGGACCGUACAGUUUAUAGCUGUACCGAGGGUUCGAAUCCCUCCCUCUCCGCCA
rnacentral:tRNA from 1 species